rnacentral:rRNA from 1 species
GCUUAGAAGCAGCCAUUCAUUUAAAGAGUGCGUAACAGCUCACUAGUCAAGAGAUUUUGCGUGGAAAAUGUAACGGGGCUAAAGUGUUAAACCGAAGACAUGGACUUCAUAUUUUAUGGAGUGGUAGAGGAGCGUUGAUAUCGCAGUGAAGUCAGAUUGUAAAGUCUGGUGGAGCGUUAUCAAGUGAGAAUGCUGGAAUCAGUAACCUUAAGACAGGUGAGAAUCCUGUCGGUCGUAAGAGCAAGGUUUCCAGGGCUACAGUAAUUGUCCCUGGGUUAGUCGGUCCUAAGCCGAGGCGUAUCAGCGUAGGCGAUGGACAACAGGUUAAUAUUCCUGUACAGGUAGUAGUUGUUAACAGUUCACGGUGAGUGACCAGAGCGGAUUAAUGGUUUAUCCGUCCAAGAUUUCAAGGAAUUGAAACUGAGUGAAAGAUAUUCUUCGGAAUAUUGAUUCUGGGUACAACGCUGGCUAGAAAAGCUGGUUAACUUAUGCUGCUGCCUACCGUACCGCAAACCAACACCGGUGCUCGGGUCGAGUAGACCAAGACCUACGUGAGAACCUUCGCUAAGGAACUCGGCAAAAAAGCGUCCGUAACUUCGGAAUAAGGACUGCCCUCUCAUUAAGAUGAGGAUUUGCUAGAAACUUGGUGGAAACAUAAGGUUAAUAAUAUUUACCUAAUAAUUUAACCAAAUUUUUCGUCAAGACAGAACACAUCAGGAAAUAUCCUGUGAUAUCUUUUCUAGUAACUCAAUCGUCAUUUUGAUGAGAGGGUCGCAGCUAAAGAGCCCACGGAACUGUUUAACAAAAACAUAGGUCUCUGCUAACGCGAAAGCGGAUGUAUAGGGGCUGACUCCUGCCCGGUGUCGGAAGGUUAAGGGGAGAGCUUUACGGUUCGAACUGAAGCCCCGAUGAACGGCGGCGAUAACUAUGAUCGUCCUAAGGUAGCGAAAUUCCUUGUCUGGUAAGUUCAGACCCGCACGAAUGGAGUAAUCAUGUGGGCACUGUCUCGGCGAAGGCCACGGUGAACGUGCAUUGGCGGUAAAGAUGCCGUCUGAUCAUGCCAGGACGAGAAGACCCCAUGGAGCUUUACUACAACUUUGCAUUGAUUAUUGGGACAUUUUGUGUAGAAUAGGUGGAAGACUUUGAAGCAGAUACGCUAGUAUUUGUGGAGUCGAAAUGUGAAAUACCACCCUGAAUGUUUUAGUAAUCUCACUUUUGACCUUAUCGGCCAAGAGGACCGUGCAUGGCGGGUAGUUUAACUGGGGCGGUUGCCUCCUAAAGAGUAGCGGAGGCGUUCAAAGGUUGGCUAACUACGGAUGGAAAUCGUAGUGAUAGUGUAUGCGCAAAAGCCAGCUUGACUGUGAGGGCUACAACCCAAUCAGACACGAAAGUGGGAGCAAAUGACCCGCUGUACAGAACUUCGGUUCAAUUUACGUGGGAAAGACAGCGCACACGGAUAAAAGUUACCCUGGGGAUAACAGGCUGAUCGCGCCCAAUAGUUCACAUAGACGGCGCGGUUUGGCACCUCGAUGUCGGCUCAUCACAUCCUGGAGGGGGAGCACCUUCCAAGGGUUCGGCUGUUCGCCGAUUAAAGUGGUACGCGAGCUGGGUUCAGAACGUCGUGAGACAGUUCGGUUUAUAUCCGGCAUGAUCGUUAGGAAUUUUGAGGAGAUCUACCCUUAGUACGAGAGGACCGGGGCGGACGAACCUCUAGUGUAUCGGUUGUGACCACCUGUUGCAUUGCCGAGUAGCUAUGUUCGGAAGAGAUAAGCGCUGAAAGCAUAUUAAGCGCGAAGCCCACUCCAAGAUUAGAAUUCCCUAUGAGCUCCCAGAGAGAAGAUCUGGUUGAUAGGUGCAAGAUGGAAGUAUCGUAAGAUAUGGAGUCGAAGCAUACUAAUAGAGCCAUCGCCUUUUUA